CCCGCUGAAUUUAAGCAUAUUAAUAAGCGGAGGAAAAGAAACUAACAAGGAUUCCCCCAGUAACGGCGAGUGAAGCGGGAAGAGCUCAAAUUUGAAAUCUCCGAUGCUUGCAUCGGCGAGUUGUAGUUGCGAGAAGCACUUUCUAGGCGGAUCGGUGGUGCCUAAGUUGCUUGGAACAGCACGUCACAGAGGGUGACAACCCCGUCUGUGGCGCCGCCGGCCGCCCACGAUGUGCUUUCCAAGAGUCGGGUUGUUUGGGAAUGCAGCCCAAAAUGGGUGGUAAACUCCAUCUAAAGCUAAAUACUGGCGUGAGACCGAUAGCGAACAAGUACCGUGAGGGAAAGAUGAAAAGAACUUUGAAAAGAGAGUUAAAAAGUACGUGAAACCGUUGAAAGGGAAACGAAUGGGCUCAGCAAUGCACCCUUUGAGAUUCAGCCGGUGGGUGGGAUCGGCGGCGGGUUUGCGGAUCUGAAUGGACCGCGGCCCGGCGCUCGUUUCCCCUCGCCGUCGCACUUCUCUUGGGCGCGCGUCAACGUCGGUUGGGACUGGGUCUGAAAGGUGCCGGGAAGGUAGGUGUGGGCCUCCGGGUCCGUACUGUUACAGCCCGGCUCUCUCAUGGCUCGGGCCCGACCGAGGAGUUGCAGGGCAUGCCUCCUGUGGCUAGGGUCCCGUCCUUCCGGCCGGUUGUCCAAUGCCGUGGACUGCUUGCAGUGCUUGGCGAACGCUGCCGGUCGUUGGGGUGGUGCUCUCGUACCAUGCCCUUAGGAUGUUGGCGGUCAUAUGGGUCC
rnacentral:rRNA from 1 species